rnacentral:rRNA from 1 species
AGGGCACCACCAGGAGUGGAGCCUGCGGCUUAAUUUGACUCAACACGGGAAAACUCACCCGGCCCGGACACCGUAAGGAUUGACAGAUUGAGAGCUCUUUCUUGAUUCGGUGGGUGGUGGUGCAUGGCCGUUCUUAGUUGGUGGAGCGAUUUGUCUGGUUUAUUCCGAUAACGAACGAGACUCUAGCCUACUAAAUAGGGACUGGAUUGCUUGUCCCCUGUACUUUUUUAAAGGGAAAAGCGGGUGUUCCCCCCCAAAAAUUAGACAAAAAACGGGUUUGAAUCCCCUUAAAAUUUCGGGGCGCCCCCCCCCCCCACCUGAGGGAAUCAAAUGGUUUUUAACCUUGGCCAGAAAGGUUGGGAAACCCAUUAAAAUUCCCUCUGGUCUGGGUCGGGGAAUUGAAUUUUUUUCCCUUAAAGAGGAAAUUCCCAUAAAGGUGGGGCACCCCCCCCCCCUCAAUACCUCCCCGCCCCUUUUAAACCCCCCCCCUCCCUCCCCUGCACUUAGCCGUUUGGAAAA